CAUUAUACAGCGAAACUGCGAAUGGCUCAUUAUAUAAGUUAUCGUUUAUUUGAUAGUACCUUACUACUUGGAUAACCGUGGUAAUUCUAGAGCUAAUACAUGCUGAAAACCCCAACUUCGGAAGGGAUGUAUUUAUUAGAUUAAAAACCAAUGCCCUCUGGGCUCCUUGGUGAUUCAUAAUAACUUUUCGAAUCGCACGGCCUUGCGCCGGCGAUGGUUCAUUCAAAUUUCUUCCCUAUCAACUUUCGAUGUUUGGGUAUUGGCCAAACAUGGUUGCAACGGGUAACGGAGGGUUAGGGCUCGACCCCGGAGAAGGAGCCUGAGAAACGGCUACUACAUCCAAGGAAGGCAGCAGGCGCGCAAAUUACCCAAUCCCGAUUCGGGGAGGUAGUGACAAUAAAUACUGAUACAGGGCUCUUUUGGGUCUUGUAAUUGGAAUGAGUACAAUUUAAAUCUCUUAACGAGGAACAAUUGGAGGGCAAGUCUGGUGCCAGCAGCCGCGGUAAUUCCAGCUCCAAUAGCGUAUAUUAAAGUUGUUGUGGUUAAAAAGCUCGUAGUUGAACCUUGGGCCUGGCUGGCCGGUCCGCCUCACCGCGUGUACUGGUCCGGCCGGGCCUUUCCCUCUGUGGAACCACAUGCCCUUCACUGGGUGUGGCGGGGAAACAGGACUUUUACUUUGAAAAAAUUAGAGUGCUCCAGGCAGGCCUAUGCUCGAAUACAUUAGCAUGGAAUAAUAAAAAUAGGACGCGUGGUUCUAUUUUUGUUGGUUUCUAGGACCGCCGUAAUGAUUAA
rnacentral:rRNA from 1 species